rnacentral:rRNA from 1 species
AGGACGAACGCUGGCGGCGUGCUUAACACAUGCAAGUCGAGCGGAAAGGCCCUUCGGGGUACUCGAGCGGCGAACGGGUGAGUAACACGUGAGUAAUCUGCCCCUAGCUCUGGGAUAGCUCCGGGAAAACCGGGAUUAAUACCGGAUACGACUGCUACGGACAUCUGUGGUGGUGGAAAGAACUUCGGCUAGGGAUGAGCUCGCGGCCUAUCAGCUUGUUGGUGGGGUAACGGCCCACCAAGGCGACGACGGGUA